UACGAAGGGUGCAAGCGUUAAUCGGAAUUACUGGGCGUAAAGCGCCCGUAGGUGGUUUGUUAAGUUGGAUGUGAAAUCCCCGGGCUCAACCUGGGAACUGCAUCCAAAACUGGCAAGCUAGAGUAUGGUAGAGGGUGGUGGAAUUUCCUGUGUAGCGGUGAAAUGCGUAGAUAUAGGAAGGAACACCAGUGGCGAAGGCGACCACCUGGACUGAUACUGACACUGAGGUGCGAAAGCGUGGGGAGCAAACAGG
rnacentral:rRNA from 1 species